UGACCAGCCACACUGGAACUGAGACACGGUCCAGACUCCUACGGGAGGCAGCAGUGGGGAAUAUUGCACAAUGGGCGCAAGCCUGAUGCAGCCAUGCCGCGUGUGUGAAGAAGGCCUUCGGGUUGUAAAGCACUUUCAGCGGGGAGGAAGGUGGUGAGGUUAAUACCCUCAUCAAUUGACGUUACUCGCAGAAGAAGCACCGGCUAACUCCGUGCCAGCAGCCGCGGUAAUACGGAGGGUGCAAGCGUUAAUCGGAAUUACUGGGCGUAAAGCGCACGCAGGCGGUUUGUUAAGUCAGAUGUUGGAAAUCCCCGGGCUUCAACUUGGGAACUGCAUCUUGAAACUGGCGAGGCUAGAGUCUCUGGUAGAGGGGGGUGUAAGAAUUCCAUGUGUAGCGGUGGGGAAUUAAAUGCGUAGAGAUCUGGAGGAAUACCGGUGGCGAAGGCGGCCCCCUUUGGGGACGAAGACUGACGCGUUUCAGUGCGAAAGCGUGGGGAGCAAACAGGAUUAGAUACCCUGGUAGUCCACGCUGUAAACGAUGUCGAUUUGGAGGUUGUGCUCUUGAAGCGUGGCUUCGGAGCUAACGCGUUAAAUCGACCGCCUGGGGAGUACGGCCGCAAGGUUAAAACUCAAUUGAAUUGACGGGGGCCCGCACAAGCGGUGGAGCAUGUGGUUUAAUUCGAUGCAACGCGAGAACCUUUACCUACUCUUGACAUCCAGAGAAUUUUUCAGAGAUGCAGUGGUGCCUUCGGGAACUCUGAGACAGUUGCUGCAUGGCUGUCGUCAGCUCGUGUUUUGGAAUGUUGGGUUAAUUCCCGCAACGAGCGCAACCUUUUUCUUUUGUUCCCAGCGGUUCGGCUGGGAAUUCAGAGGAGACUGCCAGUGAUAAACUGGAGAAAGGUGGGGAUGACGCCAAGUCAUCAUGGCUACUACGAGUAGGGCUACACACGUGCUACAAUGGCAUACUCAAAGAGAAGCGACCUCGUCAAACCAAGCGGAACUCAUAAAGUAUGUCGUAGUCCGGAUUGGAGUCUGCAACUCGACUCCAUGAAGUCGGAAUCGCUAGUAAUCGUAGAUCAGAAUGCUACGGUGAAUACGUUCCCGGGCCUUGUACACACCGCCCGUCACACCAUGGGAGUGGGUUGCAAAAGAAGUAGGUAGCUUAACCUUCGGGAGGGCGCUACCACUUG
rnacentral:rRNA from 1 species